GUGGGGAAUCUUGUGCAAUGGGCGAAAGCCUGACGCAGCCAUGCCGCGUGAAUGAUGAAGGUCUUAGGAUUGUAAAAUUCUUUCACCGGGGACGAUAAUGACGGUACCCGGAGAAGAAGCCCCGGCUAACUUCGUGCCAGCAGCCGCGGUAAUACGAAGGGGGCUAGCGUUGCUCGGAAUUACUGGGCGUAAAGGGCGCGUAGGCGGACAGUUUAGUCAGAGGUGAAAGCCCAGGGCUCAACCUUGGAAUUGCCUUUGAUACUGGCUGUCUUGAGUACGGGAGAGGUGAGUGGAACUCCGAGUGUAGAGGUGAAAUUCGUAGAUAUUCGGAAGAACACCAGUGGCGAAGGCGACUCACUGGCCCGUUACUGACGCUGAGGCGCGAAAGCGUGGGGAGCAAACAGGAUUAGAAACCCGGGUAGUCC
rnacentral:rRNA from 1 species